rnacentral:rRNA from 1 species
GAGUUGAUCCUGCUCAGAACGAACGCUGGCGGCAUGCCUAACACAUGCAAGUCGAACGAGAUCUUCGGAUCUAGUGGCGCACGGGUGCGUAACGCGUGGGAAUCUGCCCCUUGCUUCGGGAAUAACAGUGAGAAAUUGCUGCUAAUACCGGAUGAUGUCUUCGGACCAAAGAUUUAUCGGCAAGGGAUGAGCCCGCGUAGGAUUAGGUAGUUGGUGGGGUAAUGGCCUACCAAGCCGACGAUCCUUAGCUGGUCUGAGAGGAUGAUCAGCCACACUGGGACUGAGACACGGCCCGAGACUCCUACGGGAGGCAGCAGUGGGGAAUAUUGGACAAUGGGGGAAACCCUGAUCCAGCAAUGCCGCGUGAGUGAUGAAGGCCUUAGGGUUGUAAAGCUCUUUUACCAGGGAUGAUAAUGACAGUACCUGGAGAAUAAGCUCCGGCUAACUCCGUG